UAUCUCUCCUAUAUCAAUCUUUUUUGGUUGAUCAAUAGGGACUUGGGGUCUUCUCGUCGGAACUUUCAUUUCGAAUGUCUCGGUGAACCCUUUAAAUGUAGCAAGCUCCCAUCUUUCAUCGGAAAUACGCAUACUUGGGGAUGGCGUCGUAGCAAUCACUCUUAUCAGUAUUGUCGAAGCGCCUAUAUCAUACCUCUAAUCUGCGGUGCUAAUCCUUUAUCAAUGGGCGAAGCUUGACGACUGGCAAAGUGCCAUGCUCCCUUAUUUGGAGUACACCGAACAA
rnacentral:misc_RNA from 1 species